rnacentral:rRNA from 1 species
UGGGGAAUAUUGGACAAUGGGCGAAAGCCUGAUCCAGCGACGCCGCGUGGGUGAAGAAGGCCUGCGGGUUGUAAAGCCCUUUCGGUGGGGAAGAAAAGCCUCGACCUAACACGUCGGGGUAUUGACGUAACCUACUAAAGAAGCACCGGCUAACUCUGUGCCAGCAGCCGCGGUAAUACAGAGGGUGCGAGCGUUAAUCGGAAUUACUGGGCGUAAAGCGCGCGUAGGCGGUUUUGUAAGUCGGGUGUGAAAUCCCCAAGCUUAACUUGGGAACUGCAUUCGAGACUGCAUAGCUAGAGUAUGGGAGAGGGAAGUGGAAUUUCCGGUGUAGCGGUGAAAUGCGUAGAUAUCGGAAGGAACAUCAGUGGCGAAAGCGACUUCCUGGACCAAUACUGACGCUCAAGUGCGAAAGCGUGGGGAGCAAACAGG